UUUGGACAAUGGGCGCAAGCCUGAUCCAGCAAUGCCGCGUGCAGGAUGAAGGCCUUCGGGUUGUAAACUGCUUUUGUACGGAACGAAACGGCCCACUCUAAUACAGUGGGCUAAUGACGGUACCGUAAGAAUAAGCACCGGCUAACUACGUGCCAGCAGCCGCGGUAAUACGUAGGGUGCGAGCGUUAAUCGGAAUUACUGGGCGUAAAGCGUGCGCAGGCGGUUAUAUAAGACAGAUGUGAAAUCCCCGGGCUCAACCCGGGACCUGCAUUUGUGACUGUAUAGCUAGAGUGCGGCAGAGGGGGAUGGAAUUCCGCGUGUAGCAGUGAAAUGCGUAGAUAUGCGGAGGAACACCGAUGGCGAAGGCAAUCCCCUGGGCCUGCACUGACGCUCAUGCACAAAAGCGUGGGGGAGCAACAGGAUUAGAUACCCUGGUAGUCCACGCCCUAAACGAUGUCAACUGGU
rnacentral:rRNA from 1 species